AUGGCUCAGGACGAACGGCUGGCGGCACGCUUAACACAUGCAAGUCGAACGGAGUUAUCGGAGCUUGCUUGAUAAACUUAGUGGCGGACGGGUGAGUAACACGUGAGCAAUCUGCCUUCAGAGGGGGAUAGCAGUUGGAAACGACUGAUAAUACCGCAUAAUAUAGUAGAAUCGCAUGAUUUAACUAUCAAAGAUUUAUCGCUGAAAGAUGAGCUCGCGUCUGAUUAGAUAGUUGGUGAGGUAACGGCUCACCAAGUCGACGAUCAGUAGCCGGACUGAGAGGUUGAACGGCCACAUUGGGACUGAGACACGGCCCAGACUCCUACGGGAGGCAGCAGUGGGGAAUAUUGCACAAUGGGCGCAAGCCUGAUGCAGCGAUGCCGCGUGAGGGAAGAAGGUUUUAGGAUUGUAAACCUCUGUCUUUGGGGACGAUAAUGACGGUACCCAAGGAGGGAGCUCCGGCUAACUACGUGCCAGCCGCCGC
rnacentral:rRNA from 1 species